GACGAACGCUGGCGGCGUGCCUAAUACAUGCAAGUCGAACGCACAGUCUAUACCGUAGCUUGCUUCACCAUAGCCUGUGAGUUGCGAACGGGUGAGUAACGCGUAGGUAAUCUGCCUGGUAGCGGUGGAUAACUAUUGGAAACGUUAGCUAUUAUCGCAUAAUCUUAAUUAUUCCAUGAUAAUUAAUUGAAAGGUGCAAUUGCACCACUACCAUCUGGACCUGUGUUGUAUUAGCUAGUAGGGGAGGUAACGGCUCACCUAGGGGAAGAUACAUAGCCGAGCUGGGGGGGGGAACGGGCAAACUGGGAAUGGGACACGGGCCAGACUCCUACGGGGAGGAGCAGGAGGGAAACUUCGGGAAUGGAGGAAAGGCUGAACGAGGAAAGCCGGGGGAGGGAAGAAGGGUUUCGGAUCGGAAAGAUCUGUUGUAAGGGAAGAAAGGGUGGGAGAGUGGAAAGUUCACGCUGUGACGGUAUCUAACCAGAAAGGGACGGCUAACUACGUG
rnacentral:rRNA from 1 species